CGCUAAAGCGGGAUUUAGGCUCUGUAUUGGGGAUUGAAGGGGGAAUCAGGCCAGGGUGGACAAACAAAGUUCUUUCACCACAAAACCUUUAAAGCUGACUGAACUAGUGCAGCUUUUGGAUAUAGUUUGAGCAGCAGGUACCGGUUGUCCAGAGAUCAGGGUUGAUCCAGAUCACUCACUGGGAAACCUGUUGGUCCAGUUUUUGCUGCUUUUCCAGGGCAGGCUCUUACUCACUCUCUCUGUCGCCAUUUGGAAAACUCGUCCCUUUCUCCUUUCAGAGUUUCUUCUCUGUCAACUUCAGCAGAAUCAUGCAUCUAAUAGUGACAUUUGAAGGUAUCAGAACAGAAUGUUCCCGGCUCCUCAAAAGGCUUCUCUCAAUGGUCAUGAACUCUCCAGGUAACAUCAAUUAUUCGAGGGUUGCUGAACCACAGCUCAUGCCAUGAUUUUGCCACAGGCAGGGCCAGGAGGCAAGCCCCAAGUUUACCUUCGCCAGAACAGGAAUCAAGACCCAUCUAUUGGCAUUAUUCUGAAGCACAUGCCAACAUGUCUAGCCAACUGAACUAACUGGCAACCUCAUGUGGAGGUAUUAAUCAGUUUCAAAUAAAGAUUCACACAUCCUUUAAAAUAGUGGAAAGUGGAGUAUUGUAGAAUUAAUCCAGAAAUUGAUGAAUGUCACAUUAGCGUAUGAACAGUGAAUGUUUUUUUUAAAAUUCAAUUAGGGGAUGUGGGCUUCACUGGCUAGGCCAGCAUUUAUUGCCCAUUCCUAAUUGCCCUUGAAAAGAUGGUGGUGAUGUGCUUUCUUGAACCAUUGCAGCCCUUGGGUGUACCUGCACCACAUAAAUGCUGGCCUAGCCAACAAGGUUCACACCUCUUAAGUGAACAUAAAAAACACAUUCACCGUUUAUAUGCUGGUGUGACAGUCAUCAAUUUCUAGACUGUAGUUUUUGCUUAACUUCCUUUGGAUUGUCAAUUUGGGAAUGGGAAUCUGACAUGAAUACCAUCAGAGGAGUCAAUUAAAGGGCUGUUAGCAUUUUUAA